CACAAAGUUAUUAAAUAACUUUUAAAUAAGACAUAAAAAAUUGAAUAAGAUAUAAGAAGAAAGCAUUUUGAGAAGUUAUAAAUACUCUUUAUUGACAAAACAUAGGGGGUGUGAUGUGGACUGAAUUGUGUUCCCCAAAAUUUCAUAUAUUGGAGUCCUAACCCCCAAUGUGACUGCAUUUGGAGAUAGGAAUUUUAGCAGGUAGUUAAGGUUAAGUGAGGUAAGAGUGGGGUUCUAAUCUGACAGGAUUGGUGGCCUUAUAAGAAGAAGAGGAAAUUAUUCCCUCUCUUUCUCUGAUUAUGCACAGAUGAAAGGCCACGUGAGGACACAACAAGAUAUCAGUCACCUGCAAACCCCAAAGAGAGCCCCUACCAGAUCUGGACCGUGCUUACAUCCUGAUCUCAGACCUCCAGCUUCCUGAACUGUGAGAAAAUUAACAUGUGUUGUUUAAGCCACCCAGGCUAUGGUAUUUUGUUACGGCAGCCCAAGCUGAUCAAUACAGGGUGUGAGGUGGCUUCCUCUCUAUUUAAACUAAAAGAGAAUAAAGACAAUAGUUUACUUUGUAGUAUGUGGAAAGUAAGUUACACAUAAUGCAGCAUGUAGAGAAAGAAUGUUGGUCUAGAAUGAUGGUAUUGAGCUUCUAAUCUUGCUUCAGUCAUCUGUCUGUGUGAUCUUGUCUUGGGCAAGCUGUAAAAGAUGGAAGCCUGUGGGGCAUCUUAG
rnacentral:lncRNA from 1 species